rnacentral:lncRNA from 1 species
UACCAGGCCAUCUUUUGCCUAUGUUUCCUACAUGGGAAUACUCCCCCAAAACUAAAAAACAAAACCACUAUAUAUCUUCAUUGCCCGGGACAUGCAAAAGAGUAAAAAAAAAAAGGGAAAAUAGAACAGAACUGGAGAUUGACAGAUGAUGAAGAAGUAUAUUUAUAUAUUUUAUAGUGCUAUUGCUUCUUGGAAGUGCCUAAACAUGUGUCAUUAAAGUAGUGGUUACGAGUUUGCAUUUCAUAAUUCGUUCCAGGAUAUAGGUGCAGUUCAAUUGUUUAAUUUACUGUUUAGUGGUUGGCAGCUCCCCACUCUUGCGCUAUACUAUGAAGAUGAUGUUAGAAAAACAAUCCCAGAUGGAUUCAGUAAUAAACAAGCCAACGCACCAAUUAAAAAGAAACAAACAAAAAUAUUGUUUUCAGAUCAUAAUAAGUCUAAUAUCAUGUAGUAGCGCACUUAAUCUACUUGAUAAGACGGUAACAGUAACAAUUGCCAUUUACCAUCACUUCUCCAUAAUCCAUACGCGUUGGCCGGAAUCUGUGACCCAAGUUUUUCUUCAGGGGUUUCUGCUUCUCCUUAGGAAGAUUCAUCUUCUAAAACAUGGAAUCAUGGUUAGAAGCACUUCUAAAAUUAUCUGUUAAUAAAAGAAUAUUGAAAUAGAAGGGCUGUUGAAAUAAAUAGCAGGUUGAAGAGAAGCAAUUUUGAAUAAACAAACAAAUGAAUGAAUAAUAAUAUGACAUGAAGGAAUUUUUGGACAGAAUGAAAAUCUGUAGUCAUUCAGUUGGUGGAUAAAAAUGGAGUGAUUGUCAAAUUUUUUUUUUUUUUUUUGUGUUUGUAUAUGUGGAAGGAGAAAAGAAAGAGUAGAAAUGAAUGACUUACCAACAAUUAAUAAGAUGGAGGGCACGUGUCGGACUUUAUAGAAAUCAUCCCCUUCUAUUCCAUUUAUCACUUGAAGCCUCUGUAUGAAUUCUUUGGGCAUAUUAAAAAUUUCCAAUAUUUGAAGCGUAGUGAUAUAUCUCAGCCCUUCAGGAACCAUUGCCAAUGACGUGCACCUCUGAAUUGAUAAGUGCUUUAGACUAGGCAUUGCACUUUUAUCCACCCACAACAAUUUUAUGGCAUAGUCAAAGGAGAGCCCCAGAAAUGUGAGUCGAGGGAACCCAUUUGCAGAGAAAACAAUUUCCUCCCCUAAGUAAAAAUUAGACCAUAAGCACAGGGCUGUCAAGUUAAGAAGCCUCUCCAGAAUUGGUAUCGGAUCCUGUCUUAGGUAAGACCCGCACAAGGUUAACUUGGUGAGGUUCGGAGGCAAGUGAUGGUGCCCAGGGAGUUUGCUUAUUUCUCCUCCUAGGAAAAGCUUAUAAAGAUGUUGACAUAUUGAUAAUUGCCUCAGAUCUGUUUCUUCCAUGGUGGCCCUUACUUUAUCCAAAUACAAGGACUCAAGGUUGUUUGAAAUGGGACAGGAGGGUUUGAGGAGAUUAUCACCAACUCUUUAAAGCUUUUGGCAUUUCUUAUCUGCAAUUUUCGAAGCUUGGUCAACUGGGCCAAAUCUUGUACCUCCCAAUGUUCUCCAUCAAAGUUUUUUAGUGUCUCCAAGUUGCUUAGCUUGCCCAAUUGCACCUUGCUAUCAUCAACCUUAAGAUACAUAGGAAGGUAGAGAUGCCUUAGACAUUUCAUCCUACCUAUCACUUUAUUUAAUCCAAAACAAUUUAUCGGUUGAUCAGCGUCGGCGGCACUAUAAAACCGCAAAUCCAAUGUUUGGAUACAACCUAAAUUUCUUAUAAAGGAUGGGAAGCUUGGCAGAGAAGCACUUUUUAAACUUAAGUACUUCAAGUGUAUGAGGUUGCCUAAUGCCUCUGGUAUAUUUUCUUCCAAUAGAAGUUCCUCAAGACUUAACACUCUUAAUAAUUUGAAGUUCUUCCAGUCGGUAUUUCUCAGCACCUUGGGGAUUAUCGAUGAAUAUUGUGUAUCGAAUGUUAGAAGAGACCGAAGGUAUGUACCGUUUUGUGGGAUCAAAUUGACAUAGAUAUUAGCACCUUCAUCUCCAUUUUCAGAGAGUAGUCUAGCCUCUUCAAUACUCUCUGAAGGACGGCGUCGAUCGAGAAAUAUGGCACGUCUUCGGACUUUAUUUGAAGUGCGUGUUGUUGGCAUGGAAGAUGAAAAUGUCUCCAUCUGUUGAAGAUUGACAAUCUCAAGAAAAUUUUCUUCCUCUGCUUUUGACAAGCAUAAAUCUCGCAUAAGGUCAUGCAAUCGGCAAGUUUGGACUCUUCCGUUUGAAUCCCUUCUUCCUACUUGAACCAUACACCUUCCAAUUAGCUCAUCUAGAUACCCUUCUGCAACAUCCUCCGAUGUUUCUUCUCCCACUCGUGAUACAAUCCCUUCAGCCACCCACAUUCGUACCAAAGCUUUUUUAUGUAUUUCGUGGUCCUCAGGGAAAUGGCCCAAAUAGAGGAAACAUGACUUUAAUUGGUAUGGCAAAUCUUGGUAGCUUAGAGCCAACACAUUCGACACACCACUACCUUGUUGCUCGCAUUUGUCUUUACCGCUUCUCAAGUAUGAUUUAGUAUGUUUAUGAAUCCUUUCCCAUUCAUAGGUGUGGUGUUUUGUAGCCAGAAGUCCUCCAAGCACAACAACAGCAAGCGGCAAACCACCACAAUAUUUAGCCAUUUCCUUUCCCAAUAACUCCCUGUUGUUAAUAGUGGUAGGAUCUAGAAAAUCAUAUGAAAUUGAUUAAGAACAUUAUGAAAAGCAUUCAAACAAGGGUAAUGCAAUUCAUCAUAACAAUCCCAUGUAGCAUAAAGAAGUAACCAAUUUAAAAGACUUUCUUUGUGUUGCUCUUUCUUAACAACAUAUACUUGUUCAACAAUCUUUUAAAUAGUUUUUUUUUGUCAAAUUACACUGUUUUAAUAGAUAAAUUAUAAAAUUACUCAUCAAUUACUCACAAAAUUAAAGCUGGAAAAAAAUUUAAAGUCCUGCCAUGGACGUGGGCAACAAAACCUAUGAGCUCAAAUUGGUCCCAUGUUUUAAUUUGCAACCCUAGUUUCAAUUUAUUAUUAGGCCAAAGUUUGGUUAAACUCAUAUUUUGAUGAUAACAAAAUAAGGAUUGAAUUUAAUGUUUUCUGAUUUAAUGAAUCAGAUAAGAAGAUUUCCUUAGAACCAUCAUGUAGAAGAUAUAUGGAGCAAAAGAGAAUAUCUAGAAGGUUUACCAAGCUUAUUUUUAGGUUACUUUUAUGUAAGAUUGUGCCUGCAUUGAAUUAAAAAUGCAUAUUAUUAUUAUUAUUAUUAUUAUUAAAGCACCUAACACUUCAAAACUCAUCCAAUUGAACCCAAAUGGGUCUUUACCCUAAGCCUUAAACCUUAGACCUAAACUUAAACCUAAAUUAUCUUUUCAAAAUUGGAUGAUGAAUUUUUUUAAAUGAAAAUUACCUUUUAUUAGUGUUAUUUAUGGUUUAAAAAGUUUUCAAAAUGUUAACAGGUUAAUUUUGUUAAGUUUCCUAAAAAAAUUUACACUGCGGAUGCAAAAAGUUUCAAAAAUUAUGGAACUUGCUUUUUUUUUUUUUCAAUUUUUUUUUGAAAUAAAUAUAAUAGGCUAAAAAUUAUAGACAUAGAUAUAAUAGCAUCUCCUAAUGUGAAUAGAUCAAAGAUACAUUGCCACUCCAAGAAAUUACCUAUGAAGGCACCAACCAAGUAAAAGAAUUUCAUAUAAACAUCUUUGUGAAUAAUUAUGAUUUUUUUUCAAUGAAAAUUUUUGAUCCAUUGAUGAGAUGUGUACUAAGUUUAUGAAGAUUAUAAAUGAACUUUAUGCUUUGAGAAAGACUUGUUAGGAUAUAGUAUUUAAAAAGUUGACAUGAUGUAAUAAACAUGUAGAUUUUUAUUAUUUAUUUAAUAAAGUUUCAGAUGGGCGAACCACUAGGGCAAGCUUCAUCCUUGUUAUAUUUACUGCACCAAAUAUAUAUAGAAUAAAACUCAUUAUAUAAAGAUAAUAUUAAAAAUAAUAUUUUAAUGAAAAAAUUAAUUAUAAUUAUUUUAUAAUUAAAUGAAAAAAUUUCAGUUAAUUGAUUACCAAAAAUGUAAAAAUUAUCAUGAUAAUUUUCUUUAUAAUGUUUUUAAUAUCAUUAAUAUAUUAAUUAAAUAUUAAAAAUUAUACAUAUAUCAUAAUUUAUUUUGUAUCAUUUAAUAUAAUUGAAUUAAAUGGAUUAUACUUUUAAUAUUAAAUGCAUUCUUAAAUUAGACAUAUUAUAAUCAAAUAUCACAAUAUUAUUAUAUAAUAAUAUUUGAUACAAUUUAAUAAUAAAUAUACACUUAUGAAAUUUAUAUUUUUUAUCGAUGCAUACAAGAUUAUUAUGAAAUAUGAUAAAUUAUAUCAUACAUAUAUCAAUUUCUUGAACAAAACAACUUUAAAAUACUUAUUAUACUUCUAAUUUCAUUUUUAAGAGUAUUUUCUUACAUUUUUACAAGUUUUGAUCAAUUUUUAGUCCACCGAUAUUUUUUGUUAAAUUAUCCACCAAUAUUUUGUGUCAAACUAUCCACUGAUAUAUCUUCGAUAUAUUUAUAAAAUCGAAGUACUGAUAUAUUUGUAAUUACUGAUAUUUUUAUCAUUGACUAUCAUGCACCACCUUUUAUUUGGAAGGGUAACUAAUUUUGGCUAUCGGGAUGAAUUUCUACUGUGCCUGCAUUGGUGUAUAUGAUUAUACAUUAGAUAGAACCUAAUGUGAGUCAUGACUUAAGACUAUUAAGUACAUGACUUUACCAAGUUGCUUAAUUAGGUUGUUUCUCAACCUUGAGGGAAUAUUAAGCUUAAGCUAAAGUUAGCAAUGACUUUGAAUACGAGUGAGAUCGUAAACUAAUCAUAUAUUUCCUAUGGAUUGGGUCAGUGUUGAUGGAAAUUGAUAGUAAUAGGUAUUCUUAAUAGAAGCACCAAGAUAUCUUAGGGGAUUGAGACAGAGUGUGUCCAUGGGUGAUCCUAAAGAGGUAUGUUCAUGAAAACUAUGACCAUAGUAGUUCUUUAAGUGGAACUUGACAUUAGCUUGUGGAGAGUUAAGACAUGUCAAUUGAACGCACAAUAGGAUGAUCUAUAACUCAAGAACGUAAAGAUAGUCUUGAAAGAUUGAUAGCUUUCAUUUUAUUAGAUUAUAAAUAUUAGUUCAUGGGGAGACUAAAUGCAAUGGAUAAAGAGGUCAUAGACAUGAGCACAUAGUGUAUUGUUAUUAUUUACAUAAGAUAUUGGAGUUCAGUUGAUUUUCUAUAGUGGGAUAUUGAAUCAAAUUCAAAAUUGGAUUAUGAGAGAGCCGAUACUCCUAUGGGUCCCAAUGGUCUUCGCUUUGAGCUUAUAUGCCUUGUUGUGAUAGGUUAUGAAUGUUGGAUUGAUUCUAAGUUCACUUUUAUGUAUAAAAGUGUUUUGUUAAUUACAUAAGAUUGCACAAAGGUAAGUGAACAAUGUCUCUGGAUUGGAUUAAUUGAUUAAUUAGUAAGUCAUAUUGGGUUGAUUAAGCAAUUAUGAUCCAUUCUGAGGUAGAUUAAGUGACUCAAACUUUUAAUGGGAUUAAGUCACUUAAGCUUAGUGGGAAACUUUAUAAAUAACCCAUUAGGGGUUAGGGUUUCUAUAACUUUUUCUAAAGAGUCAUUUUCCACCUUCAGAAAGAAAGAGAAAGAGUCAUAGCCUCCACUUUAUUUUCCAUUGCCAUUAGAAGUGUGUCAAGAUUAUGGUUCGAGUCAUCAGGUGGAAGACUCUGGGUUUACAAGAUUUCCUACAACUUCGUUCUUUAUUUUUAUGGUGUGGAAUCGAUUUGGGAACAUUCAAAUCUAAGGUAUGUCUUUUGUUAGCACUUUUUGAAUCUGUUUUAAGUUUAAAAAUGCAAUUUUUUCCUUAUGCAUAAGAUUUAGACAAGCCUGGGAUAGUUAAGUAUGUCCCUAACCUGAUCUAAGCUUGAAAAAUGAAGAGGUCUAUGUUUUUCCCAUCAAGACCUACAUGGAAGUAGAGAAAAUAUUUUUUUUUAGGUAUUUACCAAAGAAGUGCGAAGCUAAGGUGACCGUCAUCUAAGAAGUUAAAGAUAUCACCACACUACUUGAUCUUGAAGAACUCAUUGGGUUACUUAUGACUCAUGAGAUACACAUGAACAAGCAUCAAAGAGUUAAAAGAAUAAAUAUGAUAUUUCUUUAAAAAAAUUGACAAUUGAUGAUGACGAGGAGUGAAGUGAAGAUGAAAACUUUGAUUUCAUUUCAAAGAAUAAGUUUAUGAAGUUUAUCAAAACUGAGAAGAUUAAGGGAGGAAGACUUUAUCCAAAGAAGGAUAAAAUGAUUUUUGCAAAAGAAAAUGUAGUUUUGAAAAAAAUAAAACUGCAUGCCUCAUAUCCUUUCUUGAAAUUUUUUCCAAUGAAUAAGAGAUUUUCAAUAUGAUUGAGUAAACCGAAAAUGUAUUUUUGAUGAGAAGGGAUAAGGUUACUAACCUCAUAAAAAUGAAAAGUAUUGUAAAAAUAAUUUUGUGAAAGAGACUUCAAGAAGUAAUUUGAGUACCAUUUGUAAUUUUUAUGGGAGAGGAAGUUAUAUUAAUGGUAAUUGUCCUUUAAUGUCACAUCUAGUUCUAAGUGAUGUUGAAUUCCAAAGGAGAAAAAUAUUGACCUUCUAGGAACCAAAAAAAUAUGAAAAUUAAAAGUUACUUGAAUAUUACUUGCAAGGAUCCAACCAAGAAGAAAGGAAGUUGUGCUUACCUUAGAAACAUAGCAAAAACAGGAAUCAUUGACAUUGACAAUCUGUUGGUAAUGAUAUCUCUCCUAAAUUUAAAAUAUCAUUUUGCAAAGCAUAAAUCAUCUUUGAAAAAAAUAUUUUUAAAAUCAUCUUUUGAUUUAUCAUUUGAAUGCAAGUGCUUAAUAUUUUUCAAAUCAAAAGAAAAGUUUUUGGAAAAAAUUGAUUUACUUUGAUGAUGAAGCAAUUCUUUACUUUUGAUCUAUCAAACCCAUUUUGCUAAGAGAUUGUAAAUGUGAUGGUGAGUUAGGUAUUGAAGAAGAAUAUUGAUGAAGCUGAGCUUCACAACAAGGAAAAAUGGAAAAGGAUGCAAAGUCAAAUGAAAAAAAAAAAAAAAAAAAAACUCUACAUUAAAGGGAGAAAGUGAAUAAAGAAUCUUCAAAGGAUUGAAGAUAACACCAUUAACAAAGUUAAUAUAAGAGAGGUAAAAGUUUUUGUUUUUAUCUUAGAAAUACUUGAAUUUUUUUUAGCUAUUCUAUCCUAUUGAUUUGAAAUUUUUAGGAGGCAAAAUAGAUAAUGUUUUGAAUUAUGAUCAUGCAUAGAAAAAUGUUUAAUAAUUGCAUGAAAUGGAUAAUAAUUGCUAGCAAAAUUAAGGUUCAAAUAAAAAAGAAAGAUAUAAUUUAUGAAACCUUAGGAAAUAUAAAAUGCUUAUUUGCUCACAUGUUUCAAUAAUCUAUCUUAUGCAUGCUUAUGUGUUGCAUUAUUUUUGUAAAUAAAAUUGCAAAUAUUGUCAAUUUUCUCAUUUCUUUAUAUUUUUCCAAAUCAUGUUUUAUCUUGCAUGCAUUUGAUCUUAAACCUAUGCUAGCAAGUUUAUUCAAAUUGUAACCUUUUGAGAUUGCUCAAGCGUGGGGAUUUGCCUAGUAGGAGAUAAUAUUUGAGGACUUCAGUGCUAGACAUCUCUUGAAAAGGUUCAUUGGAAUUGUAAGAGUAGAAGGCUUUGGCUUGAAAAGCCUAAGAAUGAUGGAACCCUUAUUUCAGUUGAAGUUUUAUGAAAAUGGAUGUAAGUAGGGUUACGCUAAACCACUUUAAAAUCUUGAGUUUAAAAUUUCUCUACCAUUUCUUUAUUCAUUUUAUAUGCAAUUGUUCAUUCAUCAUGUUUUCUACCUAUAGCUUAAAUAGCUAUUAUGAAAUCAUAUUUGUAAAAAUGGGAAAAAGAGACAAAUACCCCAUUUAUCUCCCUCUUGAGUAAAUACCUAGGUUGUUUUAUCAUAAUGACAAUCCUAUGUCGUAGCUAUGAAAUCUAAUUGGAAAGGAAAAUAAUAGAAAAUGCUUUUGGGUGUGUUGAAAAAUACCUCUCCUAUCAUCUCUGGGGAAUGCUUUGGUUCGAAGAAGCUCCCAACUCUUUUCCUCAGAUAAAAGCCCUGGUUGGUACAAAAAGCCUUGUAGUGGAUCCGCAUGUGAAGCCACUGCUUGGAUCCGAGUGGUGAGCAGUAUUUUGCUACCAGCUUUAUGCAGUGGAAAGGCAGGUUUUAGACUCUCCCAGUCUCCUAUUUUCCACAUAUCAUCCAGAAUCACAAGACAUUUCUUCUCCUCUUGGAUUUUAUACGCGCUCUCGAAUAGCUCCUCAUCCCUCAUGUUGCGGAUUUUCGUUUUGUGCUCUUCAUUAGCAGAAGUGAGUUGGAUCAAUAUUCCUUGUACAACAUCUCUGACGUUGAAGUAUUGAGAUAUGGAACUCCAAGCAACAUGGUCAAAAUGACGCCUAACUUGAGCAUGAUGAUAAACCUUCUUGGCAAGAGUGGUCUUUCCCAGACCGCCCAUACCGUAUAUGGAAACAACCGACCCUCCCUUGUCUGGUUUCAUCAACUGUUCCAGCAAAAUCUCCAUGCUAUCCUCCACCCCAACCGUAUCUUCAUCGACAUCGUGGGAGUAAGUCUGCCUAGGCAAUUGUUGGCUCUUGGUUCUGAAACCAGAGCCUUCUCCUUCUGCUAUGCUCCUCAAGUUAUAUUGUGAAUUUUCAGUCAGAAGGGAGAUUCUGCUUUUUAUGGCGUCAAUCUCUGUCCCAACCUCAUGGAAUGCUUUAAAUUCUGAUAAGAAGCAAGCAUACCUCUUGAGAUUGUGUUGGAGGCCGCUUCUCUUGCUCCUCAGCGCAGCCUUGGAGGCAAAAGUCUCUAUGAUGUCCUCGGUGUCAUAAGCAGCCUCUCUGAUUUCUGCAACCCAAUUGCGAAUAACCUCAUUUUCAUAUUGUCUUGCAUCUGCAUCUCUCAGAAAGCAUCGCAUCAUCCUUAGCUCAGCUUGAAUUUCAGUAACUUUGUCGCUCACCCCAUGUAAGUAACUCGCCUCUUGAACCAACAGGUCACCUAGCCUUUCCACAGCAAAGGACACAACAGCCUCCGCCAUUUGUUUGCUGUUACUUGUUCCUCCAAAGGAGAAAUGUUCAAAAGAUGAUCGCCUCCGCAAUCUCUUCUACACCUCCAUGACUGUAAAAAUGUAAAUCACCCUAUUUAAUUGUAUUUUUACAUAAUUUAGAAAAAAAAUUGCAUUUGUAUCCUUUGUAGUUUCUGAAAUUAAAAUGCACACUUUGUUGAGCCUUCAACACCACCCUUCUCCAUAAAGUCAAGGUACUUGCAAGGUCAGGUUGACUCGGGUGAAUCGUCCGAGUUACCAGAAUUUCUUAGUUGAACUCAUAAAUCAAUUUUUUCUCUUCCAAAUCACAAGAAAAGAACACCAAAUAGCAAUCAAAAUUGAGAAAUUUCUGAAAAUCAGUGAUUCUCUUCAAAAGGAAAAGUUUUUCAGAAGGAGAAAACGACCCGAUGAUGUCCUUGAAAAUUUUUCAGUCCAACCUGUGAUUGUCUUUGAGAACACAACGGAUGGACUGCAGCACCUUGGUGUCAGCGGCGUGACUGUGGUGACUGCUGAGAAGCAUCGGAUCCCUCCUUCCUCCAUUGCCCAUAAUUCUAAUUACAUGCGUAGUAGCACACUCAAUGAUGACAAGCAAUAGAAAGUAAAAGUAGAAUAGAAGGCUGUCUCCAAUAAUACACUCUCUUUGAACAUGGGAGUCUACCACACUCCAAUCAAACACAUAAAGAAGCAAGAAAAGGCCACCAAGUGGGGUCUGCAAUUUGCACCAACCCUCAAUAAUGUCAGCACAGGAGCCACCUAGUGCUCUUCGUUUCAUAUUUGCUUUUGCAAGUGGGCUGAUCAUGAAAUCUGAAUGAUCCAAAAUAUCAAGAUUAGAAUUUGGACUUUAAAAUAUUAUCCUAAUUCUCAAUUGGUUUCUACUCUUCUACUCGAGGCAUCUCUUUAGAAUUAGGACAUUUUUCAAAUGCUCCCUCCGAUAGGAAAGGGAAAAGAAAGGUGUAACAUCUCAGGGGCUAAUAGAAUAUCAUGGAACACAGCCCAUUUUGGUAAUUUCUUUGGGUGGGCAUUCAUUGCAAGCUAUUUAUUAGAGAGUAUAUAAAGUUUAGGAAGUCUCUAAAUUCAAAAUUUAGAAUUUGAUUUAGAGUUUAUUUACUAGUGAUUUUAAGAAGCACUUCUAAUAUUUUUAGCACUUAAAUUUUUUUAUCUUGAGUGUUAGAGGAGUUAGAAAUACUUUUUAAAAUCAUUAUCAAACAUGCUCUUAGUAUAAGUAAUUAACAUUGUAUUUGUGUAUAUUUUUUAUUUAUUUAUAUUUUUAAAAACAAGUAGUAGGAACUCUUAAACAAAUUAUAGAGAUUGAUUUUUAAAAAAUAAUGAUUUUUAAAAUGGUUUAAAAAAUUGAAGUAUUUAAAAACUUUUUUAUUAGGUCACAUUUAAAAAAUUUGAUAAAAUUUUUUAAUAACAUAAAGUAGGUCUCUAAUUUUUGUUUAAGGUUCCUAGAUUUUAUAUAGGAAAUGCUACUGGCAUGUUUGGUGAUGCUUCCUUACACUUGUUUUCUAAAAAAUAUUUUUUAAUUUAAAAAACAAAAAAAAUAGUAUUUUUAGUAAUUUCUAAGAAUGAGGAUAUUUAGCAAGUUGUUUUUUGAAAAUAUUUUUCAAGAUUUUUUUUUUUGUUUGGAUAAGUUUUUUUGAAAAAUAAUUUUUUCUUUGAUUUUGUAAAAACGUUGUAUUUAAUGUUAAUUAACUUUAUUCAAGUUUUAUUAAAAAUGAAAAUAAUUUUGGAAUUACAAAUAAAUUAAAAAAUAAAUAUUUUUUUAGUAAAAUAUGAAUAGGAAUAUUAUGAUAAAAUCAUAAAUAGUUUUUUUAUUUAAAAAUACUAUUUUAGUAUAUGUUAUAAAAAUAUGAAUAUUAACAUCUUUAUAAAAUGAUACUUUUUUUUUGUUAUUAUUAAAAAUGAAUAAUAAUAUUUAAAAAUAAUUCUUAACAAUUUUUUAUUUUAAAUGAAUGUAAAAAAAAAUAAAGUUUAACUUUUUUAACAUAUAAAUGAGUCAAAAUUUUUAUUACAUGCAAACAUUUAGUAUUUAAUUAGAAUAUUCUAGAAUAUUUUGAUUUAAUGUGCAAUUAAUUGAAUCAAUUUUUUGAGUGCUAAAUUAUUUUAAAAAUUAUUAAACUUAUUAAUAAAUUUAUCAUUUGAUUUGAAGUUCAUUUCUAUAAUGAGAAAAUUCAUAAAAAUAAAUUAUGUGCAAAAAAAAAAACUAAUAGAGUCAUUGUAUACCGAUUUUUACUCAUAAAUUUAUGAUAUUAAUUGAGUCACUAUUUGAGUUUCAAAUUAUUUUAAAAAAUUAUUAGACUCGUUGAUAAACUAAAUGUAUUAAGUUUUACUUAAUUUGGAAUUUAUUUGUCUUGUGAAAAAAAUGAGAAAAAUAUGAUUUUAUAUAGAAGAAAAAUAAUAGAAUCAUUCUAUAUCAAUUUUUAUCUAUGAAUUUUUUGUACUAAUUGGGUUACCAUUUGAGUUUGAAGUUAUUUUUAAACAUUGCUAAACUUCUUAAUGAAUCCAACGCUUUUGUUUCCAUUAGUAUGCCUCCUCCAUGUAUACAAGGGAAUCGAGAUGAUUGAAACUUAUUAAUAAAAUCUCUAUUGGGGGAAAAAAAAAGAGAUAGCACUACUACUAAUAUGUUUUGUGAAAGAGUGAAAAUUGUAUGCGUCAUAAUUGAGAGAAGAAGGGAACCUUUUUGUCAUUGUAACCCUUCUAUCUCUAUUAAAUUAGUGGAUUCUUCAAUAUUAGUGCACUCCAUGGAUGUAGGGAUUAUAUUGUUCAUUGUAUCAUAUCAAAAUCUUGUCUUCUUUCUUUAUUUCUACUGGUGUGUGUGGUAUAGUUAACAAGUUCAACCAUAAUCACAGCUACCAUGUCACGUAUAUGUUGCUCUCUCAAUAAAUGUUUAUCUAUGUGUUGUUCUGCCAAAGUUCUUGUUUAUACUAGAACAAGGCUGUGUUUUUUUUAGAAAAAUAAUUAUGUGCAUAAAUAUGGGUGUUAUGUUGGCAUCAUUCUUUACCAAGGCUCUGUCUUUCACUUUUGGUUGUAAUUUCUCACCAUAUGGAAUUCCUCGAGUUUUAGUUGGCUAGUGAUUUUCGUGGUUAAUGGUGGCUUAUCUGGAUAACUUGAAAAAAGUUGAGUGUUUUUUUUUUUUUGCUUUUCCAGAGUUGGGGUUCACUUAUCUGCUGAGGGAAGCAAGAUAGUUGUGGAGGAGAUACUGAAGGUGCUGAAGGGAGCUGAAUGGGAGCCAAGUCUACAGGGCGAUUCAAUGGGACUAAGUGACCAAGUCAUCUUUUGCCUAUGUUUCCUACAUGGGAAUACUCCCCCAAAACUAAAACAAAACCAAUAUAUGUCUUCAUUGCCCGGGACAUGCAGACGAGUAAAAAAAAAAAAAGAAGGAAAAUAGGACAAAACUUGACAUUACUAGAUGAAGAAGUAUAUUUAUAUAUUUUAUGGUGGUAUUGCUUAUUGGAAGUGCCUA